UCUGAACCCGGAACCGCUCCCUCCUCCCCCGCCCGGCUAUAGCUGGCAGGGCAGGGAUUGGAUGCCACGGCCGGCGCCAGGCUUCGUUCUCCGCCGAGGGUAGUGACACAGGCGAGGACGUUCCCCGCAGGUCACGUGAGGGCGGGUCCUGGCGGGCUCGUGACCUUCCCGUAGGCGGGGUCCCUCUCCUCCCAGCUCCGGCCAGCGUCGUGGUAACCAGCUUUUAUGGGGCACGUGGCGGCUGAUGCGCAGUAAAUAGGAGUGACUCUCCCCUGCGAAGGCGGGACCGCACUUUAUGAGACCAAACAAACUGCCUGAGCGAAGCCCUUGGAGCUGUAAACAAUUGGCAGCAAGUACAAAACAAAGGAGGGGACCACACAAGGGCACGAAUACCAGGCAGGGAUCAUUGGAGGUCAUCUUGGAAGCUGCUACAGGAGAGCAGAAUACUAAGAAAGCAUCACCAUACAGCACGGAAAGAAAUACUGAAAACAAAUCAACAGCCUCACACUUGGACUCGCCCGCCCCAGGACCCAGGAAGAGCCCCGGAGUGUGGGUGAUUGUCAGGUGUGGGGGUGGGGCACCUCCACGGCCCGGCCCGCCCCUCCCUUCCUCUUCCUCACCACCUCCCUCCCUCUGGGACUUGAAUGGGGAAGAGGAGAGAAUCCAGAUUCUCCAUUCCAGCCUCCCUCCCCCACACAAAUGCCAUUCCUUCUACCAACCGCUUUAAGGGGUGGGGAGAGGCAGCAGAGGGGAGAACAAGGAGUUCCCAGGCUCCAUGUCUCCUCCCCUCCGCGAAAGCCUAAACUUACCCCUCACCCCACCCCAGGGGAUUCCAAAGAGUCAGUUAAAAAUAUAGAGAGAUAUAGAUAUUUCUAGAUACACUUUUACAUUUCUGUCUCUCCAAACAAAUAAAUAAUCAGCAAGAGAAGGUGCAUUCCUUCCUUCCUGUCCAAGGUGGGGAGGGUUGGAAGGGGGUCGGGGGUCAGUCUCGCUGCACUGAGCGUGCUGUUGAGAGGGGAGGAUGGUGUGUUCCACUGAGGUGGUGGGGGGGGUCCUCUUGCCCACUGUCCCUGAAAGCUGUGGGAAACCUGGGGAGGGGAGGGCCAUUAGAUGACUCCAGUGGUUACUUUGGCAAAUGCCCAGUUCUUCAGAGGGAGUGGGUGGAGGCGAAUUUGGCUUGAGAGGAAGAAGCCAUUAAGUCCCCAUCUGAGGUCUGGGUUCCCAGGGACCCAAUUCAUCUGGCCGCCCUGGAGCCCCUACCCUCAAGAGAAACCUUCGGAUACUGAACUGCAGAAAUGUCACAUAUUCACAGACCACCCUGUCCCCAGGGACAGAGAAGAAAGGACACAGAAACAUCCACACAUGGUAAUCAAAAGCCAGGUUUGCCUUUAUGAGGCAGAGGGCAAAACUGGUGAAUAUUGCACCGUGAACUGCAGGGGCCCUCACCCCCACCCCGUGUUUAAUGGUGGCCAAGCCCAGUCUAGAAAGGUGGGCAGACUAAUGGUGGGAAUAGCCUGAGAAGGGAAGGCCAGUCAUUCAUUUAUUGAGCACCUAUCAUUCAACCAUUCACCCAUUCAGCAUUUAUUGAGUGCCUACUAUGUGCCAGGCACUGGGCGAGGCUCUGGGGAUGCAUGCAUGAACAAGAUUACACCCUGGCUUCUUUCAAGCCCUGGAUCGAGGCUCAUCAGUUUUUGAAACUCCCUCUAGAAGCCUGCAGGGGAGGUGGGAAGGCUGGACGUGCUGCCCCCACCC